CAGUCGCCGCGGUAAUACGUAAGUGGCAAGCGUUGUCCGGAAAUAUUGGGCGUAAAGGGCUCGCGGGCGGUUUCUUAAGUCUGAUGUGAAAGCCCCCGGCUCAACCGGGGAGGGUCAUUGGAAACUGGGAAACUUGAGUGCAGAAGAGGAGAGUGGAAUUCCACGUGUAGCGGUGAAAUGCGUAGAGAUGUGGAGGAACACCAGUGGCGAAGGCGACUCUCUGGUCUGUAACUGACGCUGAGGAGCGAAAGCGUGGGGAGCGAACAGGAUUAGAUACCCCGGUAGUCCCUGUCUCUUAUAA
rnacentral:rRNA from 1 species